UGGGGCAUCGCCAAGUGGUAAGGCACCGCUUUUUGGUAGCGGUAUGCGCAGGUUCGAAUCCUGCUGCCCCAGCCA
rnacentral:tRNA from 1 species